rnacentral:rRNA from 1 species
GAUGAACGCUGGCGGCGUGCCUAAUACAUGCAAGUCGAGCGAACAGACGAGGAGCUUGCUCCUCUGACGUUAGCGGCGGACGGGUGAGUAACACGUGGAUAACCUACCUAUAAGACUGGGAUAACUUCGGGAAACCGGAGCUAAUACCGGAUAAUAUAUUGAACCGCAUGGUUCAAUAGUGAAAGACGGUUUUGCUGUCACUUAUAGAUGGAUCCGCGCCGCAUUAGCUAGUUGGUAAGGUAACGGCUUACCAAGGCGACGAUGCGUAGCCGACCUGAGAGGGUGAUCGGCCACACUGGAACUGAGACACGGUCCAGACUCCUACGGGAGGCAGCAGUAGGGAAUCUUCCGCAAUGGGCGAAAGCCUGACGGAGCAACGCCGCGUGAGUGAUGAAGGUCCUCGGAUCGUAAAACUCUGUUAUUAGGGAAGAACAAAUGUGUAAGUAACUAUGCACGUCUUGACGGUACCUAAUCAGAAAGCCACGGCUAGCUACGUG